GUGGGGCCUUAUCCCGGUAAAAUAAAUUAAAUAAAAAUUAUAGUGCAUUUAAUACUGAUUCAUCUUCUCGCAAUACUUUCAAUUUCUCACGUCAUGCAGUUGUUUGUCCACCCGAUCUGCACUUGCUUUAUUGCAGUUCUUUAUGUUAUUCGUUUUUUGACAUAUUGGUGACCAACGCCACUCUUGCAAACGAGAUUUAAUCCUGGUCUCCAAUGUCCUCGCCAACUGGUUUCGCAAAAUCAACUUUAACAUUCGUCAGCAACUGAGUUGAGCAACUCGCGUUGAGAAAGCGGGCUUGCUCAUUUCAAGACUGCGAGAGACGACAACAAUUUGUGGCGGCCUUCAGCCAGCAGCGGAUGAAUCAUGGCCGAUGAUGUACUUUGUUGGGGUCACUGUUGCGAAUUGAGACCUCCUAUCCACGGUCCCUCGACUUGCUCACCUGGUUACACCAAAACAACCUGCAAAUCUGGUGGCCAAGCAAAACAAAACAAUCAACUCACAGCAUGGGUCGGUGCACAGAAUGGAACCCCGGAUUUCGGUGCUGGAAGCUCAAGUGAUAUAUGACCUCUAAGCUACCCAGCCACCACUAAGGUCUUUAGCGCUCUAAACAAAAAAGAAGCUCGCGCAGUACUUGUCUCCGUUUGUGGUUCUGAGUCAUUUAUAUAUUUACAAUAUAUUUAUUUCGCGAUACGUGAGCAGCUAUACAUUAAACUACACCUACGUAUCAUGGGACCGUUUUUGGCAAUAUUUAAAGUAUGAAAGUAUGAAGUGUGUAAAAAAAGUAAGAAUAGGUUUUACCCCUUUUAAAACCCUUUAGUUAUUCUUAUUUUUCAUACACGACCGUAGGACCUUUUUGAAUAUCGGUGCUGAAGACGCCUCCAGGCACUUGUGUGCAAGGCCUGAAACAAAAUGCUCAGUGUAGCAUCAAUACAAAAUCACAUUAGCGCACCUCAUAUUGCCACUCAUUCUUAACAGCCAUGUCUUCAUUGCUGCAUGAGCAGGUCACCGCCGUUGUGGUGCGAUUGUCGAUGCGAGUGUGAAUGAUCCUUGACACCCGUGCGUGAAUGUCGAACGCAGCGUCCACCUACACUCGUGAACCUCUGUAUGCAACUGACAGAUGGUUGCAAAAUAUACUGACAUGGAUCCCCCAUCGAUGUGUUCGUGUACAGCGCCCCUUUGUCAAUGCACCACCAGUUAAGGGCCUUCUUACGGCGUGUGCGGUCGUGGGGGAUAUUUGACGAGACUUCACCGCGAAGGGAAUCGAAGGGAAUAUUGAUCGAUGCAUGGUGAACCUCUUUUGCACCGUACGUAGCCAACCGUGCUAAUUGAAGGAUCAGGUAAAGUGCAGGAAUGAAUAUUGCUGCACUGCCCGCUGCUGACCACAAAAUAGGCCUUACAGCCUAUAACACCUGCUACGCAUGGUGGUCGGCCAAUUCAAGCGAUAUCCACGCUUCUUAACCCUGCCCAGGUGCUGAGAUCGGGCACCACCCCAGAGGUGAUUUGAGCAAACGCCGUUGAUGUGUGUGAUUAUGUACAACACGGCGAUUGGUUUAAUAAUCAUCAUCUCCGUUUAAAACUCCAGUACUAUGUGUCACCGUUGCUUGCGUUUGAGAACUGGAUAUCAAGAGGCCACAUGGGCAUACUCACUGGAGAUGUACCGUCGGUUGAGGUUAAGAAUUGGAUGGAUCGUAUUUAUGCUGCAACAUUUUGGAAUUUAAUCGGCUCUUCGGGUCGACUGAGCACAGUAUUGGGCUAUGAGCUGACUAAUGUUAGUUCACAUUUCUAUAAAAAAUAUAUAUCGGAUUUUUUUUUUAAUUAGAAUUCGAUCGUGUGGAAUAUAAGAUAGCUGCAGGUGGAUGCUUACAUGAAAGGAUCGACAAUGAUGAUGAUAGUUUUGGGAAACAUUCAUCCAGGAGUGGAGUGACCAAGGCAAUAGAAGAUGAUAUUAAUUUGACUCAUUAUUUGUAUUUUUGAAUGGAAAGGGAUCGCAUUUUUUGAGAAGGUGUAUAAUCUUUCCCACAAAAGGGAGCACGAGGUCCUGAUCCCCCACGAUGUAAAUUCCACACUCAUAAUGGCAGAGCACAAUUCUAUCAAUAGAACGACCACUACUACGGUUCCAACCCCAUUGUGUUGCAGUGCACCGCACACUAUGUGACGGCAUUUGCUAUUUCUUUUUUUCUCCCAAUUCGGUGGCAAUCACAAUGUGGCAGGUUAAUAUCGAGGCCUCCUUCUCCCUUAUGCGUCGCAUGGCUCAUUUUUUGACACAGCAGUAAACUAGAUGUAGUGCCAAUCCGCUGCGGUGCAGGGAAUGUUUUUUUUCCCCUUCUCCUCUUGCUCUCGUACCGUUAUAUGCAAUUCCAAAGACGCAAACAAAAAAAAGCGCACCAUAACAGAUAGACUGUGUUUCAGUGCGGCAAUGAAACACUCAAUAUUCCGGCUGUCCCCAAAGUCCCAAUGGCAGGUGUGAUUGAUAGAGUUAAGUGAAAGAGUGACGAGCUACCAAUGCGUUUCACAUUAAUUCCAUUAGCGGCACCCGACUUUUGGGGCCAGGCAAAACCUCGUGGUGAAUUGUGCUCCUGCGCCAUAAGCGACCCCUCCCCCCCCCCGUCCCUCCCUCC